rnacentral:rRNA from 1 species
UACGAAGGGUGCAAGCGUUACUCGGAAUCACUGGGCGUAAAGCGUGCGUAGGCGGUUCGUUAAGUCUGCUGUGAAAGCCCUGGGCUCAACCUGGGAACUGCAGUGGAUACUGGCGGACUAGAGUGUGAUAGAGGAUGGUGGAAUUCCCGGUGUAGAGGUGAAAUUCGUAGAUAUCGGGAGGAACACCGGUGGCGAAGGCGGCGAUCUGGGGUCGAUACUGACGCUGAGGUGCGAA